rnacentral:rRNA from 1 species
AUUGAACGCUGGCGGCAGGCCUAACACAUGCAAGUCGAGCGGAUGAAGGGAGCUUGCUCCUGGAUUCAGCGGCGGACGGGUGAGUAAUGCCUAGGAAUCUGCCUGGUAGUGGGGGAUAACGUCCGGAAACGGGCGCUAAUACCGCAUACGUCCUGAGGGAGAAAGUGGGGGAUCUUCGGACCUCACGCUAUCAGAUGAGCCUAGGUCGGAUUAGCUAGUUGGUGGGGUAAAGGCCUACCAAGGCGACGAUCCGUAACUGGUCUGAGAGGAUGAUCAGUCACAUUGGAACUGAGACACGGUCCAGACGCCUACGGGAGGCAGCAGUGGGGAAUAUUGGACAAUGGGCGAAAGCCUGAUCCAGCCAUGCCGCGUGUGUGAAGAAGGUCUUCGGAUUGUAAAGCACUUUAAGUUGGGAGGAAGGGCAGUAAGUUAAUACCUUGCUGUUUUGACGUUACCAACAGAAUAAGCACCGGCUAACUUCGUG